rnacentral:rRNA from 1 species
UACGAAGGGGGCUAGCGUUGUUCGGAAUUACUGGGCGUAAAGCGUGCGCAGGCGGCUUCUCAAGUCAGGGGUGAAAGCCCAGAGCUCAACUCUGGAACUGCCUUUGAGACUGAGAGGCUUGAGUACGGGAGAGGUGAGUGGAAUUCCCAGUGUAGAGGUGAAAUUCGUAGAUAUUGGGAAGAACACCGGUGGCGAAGGCGGCUCACUGGCCCGUAACUGACACUGAGGAGCGAAAGCCAGGGGAGCAAACGGG